AGAAUCGAUUUGAUGCUCGUAAAGCACUCAGCAAAAAUGGCAUGGAAAUAAACGGAGUUCUUAUCAUUGGAGUCAAGCCUUUGGAUCCAAUAGAACGGCGGGCUUUAAACGAGAGGCUUAGUUAUCAAGGAUUUAUACCAUUAGCACCUGCUCCAUCAAAUGGAAACUUGACAUCAAAUGGUUUUGAAGUGUCCCCUCAUCCGUACUAUCCUCAGAAUGGCGGUUCUGGUGGCCGGGAAUCUGCCGGUACCAUUGUCACACCUGCCAAAUCAAUGGUCUCAAAGGUUAUGGACUUGAUGUUUGGUUUCUAAUCUGACUUCUUGACGCAAAAUCUACCGUCUUUCCUAUGUACUUUCGAUACUUGGCUGCCCCUUUUUCAAGAUUUAACAGUUGUAUACCGUAAUCUGCUACUGAGCCUAUCGAAACUGCUCGUAAAGCACUCAGCAAAAAUGGCAUGGAAAUAAACGGAGUUCUUAUCAUUGGAGUCAAGCCUUUGGAUCCAAUAGAACGGCGGGCUUUAAACGAGAGGCUUAGUUAUCAAGGAUUUAUACCAUUAGCACCUGCUCCAUCAAAUGGAAACUUGACAUCAAAUGGUUUUGAAGUGUCCCCUCAUCCGUACUAUCCUCAGAAUGGCGGUUCUGGUGGCCGGGAAUCUGCCGGUACCAUUGUCACACCUGCCAAAUCAAUGGUCUCAAAGGUUAUGGACUUGAUGUUUGGUUUCUAAUCUGACUUCUUGACGCAAAAUCUACCGUCUUUCCUAUGUACUUUCGAUACUUGGCUGCCCCUUUUUCAAGAUUUAACAGUUGUAUACCGUAAUCUGCUACUGAGCCUAUCGAAACAAAAUGGUAAGCUUAUGUCUCCUUGUAAUUCUGUUUUUCAUUGAUUCAGAUUUUGAGAAAAAUGAGUUUUAGUUGUAUUGGAUAAAGAUUAGACAUGAUAAUAGAUAAACACUUGGCAUGAUCGAGAGAAUCUUUAAUUGUUUGUUGAUUGAUAAAGGACCCGUUAAGAAGGAAUCUUUAAUUGUUUCUUCAUGUGCUCACAAUUUUUGUAUGGUAUGCAUCGAUAAACUAUUG
rnacentral:lncRNA from 1 species